rnacentral:rRNA from 1 species
GAUGAACGCUGGCGGCGUGCCUAAUACAUGCAAGUCGAGCGAACAGACGAGGAGCUUGCUCCUCUGACGUUAGCGGCGGACGGGUGAGUAACACGUGGAUAACCUACCUAUAAGACUGGGAUAACUUCGGGAAACCGGAGCUAAUACCGGAUAAUAUAUUGAACCGCAUGGUUCAAUAGUGAAAGACGGUUUUGCUGUCACUUAUAGAUGGAUCCGCGCCGCACUAGCUAGUUGGUAAGGUAACGGCUUACCAAGGCAACGAUGCGUAGCCGACCUGAGAGGGUGAUCGGCCACACUGGAACUGAGACACGGUCCAGACUCCUACGGGAGGCAGCAGUAGGGAAUCUUCCGCAAUGGGCGAAAGCUUGACGGAGCAACACCGCGUGAGUGAUGAAGGUCUUCGGAUCGUAAAACUCUGUUAUUAGGGAAGAACAAAUGUGUAAGUAACUAUGCACGUCUUGACGGUACCUAAUCAGAAAGCCACGGCUAACUACGUG